CAAUGUGGCUCAGCAGGCAGAGCAGCAGUUUCGUAAACUGCAGGUCAUGGGUUCGAAUCCCAUCAUUGG
rnacentral:tRNA from 1 species